UUCUAGCCCCGAUUGAAAUGGAAAUCCUUUUUUGCGCGAGCGAAAGCGAGCGCAAAAAAGAUUGUAAUGGAAAGCGGGUACAAUC
rnacentral:sRNA from 1 species